rnacentral:RNase_P_RNA from 3 species
UGAGUUGGUCGGGCGGCCGCGGCUCGUGUUGGUCCGAAAGGCCCGUCACGAGUCGAGGAAAGUCCGGACUUCACAGAGCGGGGUGAUUGCUAACGGCAAUCCGAGGUGACUCGCGGGAAAGUGCCACAGAAAACAGACCGCCACCCUCGGGUGGUAAGGGUGAAACGGUGCGGUAAGAGCGCACCAGCACUCCGGGUGACCGGGGUGGCUAGGCAAACCCCACCCGAAGCAAGGCCAAGAAGGCCACACCGAAAGGUGCGGCCGCGCAGGCGCCUGAGGGUUGCUCGCCCGAGCCUGCGGGUAGGCCGCUCGAGGCACCCGGCAACGGUGUGUCCAGAUGGAUGGUCGCCGCCGUGCCGCCGUUGCUUAAGCCGCGGCGGUGUGGAACAGAAUCCGGCUUACAGGCCAACUCGUCCG